UGCAGCCCUUUACGUAGGCAAAGUUUGCGCGCGUUGCAGGUCUGCCAAAACGCACGCUCACUAAAGUGUAGAUGCAAGUUCACAAGAGUUUUGCUAGCUGCUGAGAACAGUAUAUUCUGGUCGCAGCUGGAAUGCCAAACGAGUGAGCGAAUUACAAUGGUUGAAACCGACAUGAUGCAUUCUGUGACCUCCUUGGUUCUCGUCUUCUCCAUGGGGAUAAUAGUUGCUUCUGCAACCCACAAAACAGACUGUUUCUUUACUGGACUGGACCUGGAUGGUGCUCUUACAAGAGUAAUCAGUCAGCUAUCAGUACAUGAACAGCAGAUGAAGAGGAUCAGCUCAUACCCAGACAUUUUAGAUGUUGAGUGCUGCAGCAUUAGGGGCCUUCAGCACCUUCGCCAGUACGGACCACUGCUUCCUUACUGCGUCAAUGGCACACGCAAAUUUCAAGUCGACUUGGUCCACGAUGGUCCCAUCGAGAUGAUAGUGAAUUGGCGGUGGUACAAUGGAAUCAAAGGAACACUGGCACUCGGCGCACAAUUAUCGCGCCUCACCCUGCAAUUUGUUGUUUCCGAACAGCCACUCGUGAAAAUUGGCCUUAGGUUGGAAAAUCCUCUCGUUCCCGUGGCGACAGAGAUGACUUAUGCUGCUGUUGAAGGUGUUGGUGAAACUGCGCGAGCUGUGACGGCAAUCUGGAGCAAGCUUCUGCCUUCGCUGACGCAACGUGUGUGGAAUGAGUAUUUCCUUGCAAAUCUGCGCAAGGCCAUCUGUGAGGUUCAGCUCGAUUUGUUCGGUCCACAUGAACAAGCGAACCUACAAAAAAGCAGCUCAACUGCGUUCACUGAAUAUACCGAAUUAGAUGCGUGUACGAACUGAUCGCUGCGCUACAAACAUAAGUGAACAAAAACAGUGCUUGCUGCACAUGGCUGCUCAAGCCUGCGGCAAUUUUGCGACAGUCAAACAGGCAGCGUGAAGUGUCGGCAGAUUUCUGGCUGUACAAUGGCUUCGAAGCACGUUAUGUGUGAGGUUCCUCUUGUUUACUGCUGUGACACGUGGUAGAUCAGCAGCCAGCCAUGCGAAAAUAUACCUAAAUAAUUAGCUGCCAAUAGUUGUUUUUUUGCAGAAACCAUGCUACCUUUUAUGUAGGUAUGCAUCAAACUAUCCGAGGGCUGGCAACAUAAAAGACUGAGAGAUAAAGAUAUAUCUAUGUGAAAGCAAAAAUAUGUGCGGAGGCUGUAAAUUGGAUUUACCUGUCACCAUAUUAGUAGGCCACACGCAACUUAUAUGCUGAACGUGGUGUAUAAUUUCUUCGAUACAAAGUGAAUAAAAUGUUUAUUUCCUUGCUUC